AGGCCGCCCUGGCCCAUCCCGCACUGAGCUCCAGGCCCAUGGGCGAGCCAGCUGCGGCGGCUAUAAUUAGAGGGGAGCCGCGGCCCUGCCGAGCCUGAUACCUCGCGCCCCCCGCCGGCGUUCCUGGGAGGAAUGUGCGGGCGCGAGGCCGUGCGUCGCCGCCAGCGCGCUCCCUGGACGGUCACCGCGUGGUGGACCAAAUAAAGUAAAAGCCCCAUGGACUGUAGACCACUAGGCUUCUCCGUCCAUGGGAUUCUCCAG
ensembl:lncRNA